rnacentral:rRNA from 1 species
GACGAACGCUGGCGGCGUGCUUAACACAUGCAAGUCGAACGAUGAAGCCGGAGCUUGCUCCGGUGGAUUAGUGGCGAACGGGUGAGUAACACGUGAGCAAUCUGCCCUUGACUCUGGGAUAACUGCGGGAAACUGUAGCUAAUACCGGAUACGACAACUUGGGGCAUCCCAGGGUGUGGAAAGAAUUUCGGUCAAGGAUGAGCUCGCGGCCUAUCAGCUAGGUGGUGAGGUAAUGGCUCACCAAGGCGGCGACGGGUAGCCGGCCGGAGAGGGUGACCGGCCACGCUGGAACUGAGACACGGUCCAGACUCCUAAGGGAGGCAGCAGUGGGGAAUAUUGCAAAAUGGGCGAAAGCCUGAUGCAGCAACGCCGCGUGAGGGAUGAAGGCCUUCGGGUUGUAAACCUCUUUUAGCAGGGAAGAAGCGAAGGUGACGGUACCUGCAGAAAAAGCACCGGCUAACUACGUGCCAGCAGCCGCCGCCG